GACGAACGCUGGCGGCGUGCUUAACACAUGCAAGUCGAACGGAAAGGCCCUGCUUUUGUGGGGUGCUCGAGUGGCGAACGGGUGAGUAACACGUGAGUAACCUGCCCUUGACUUUGGGAUAACUUCAGGAAACUGGGGCUAAUACCGGAUAGGAGCUCCUGCUGCAUGGUGGGGGUUGGAAAGUUUCGGCGGUUGGGGAUGGACUCGCGGCUUAUCAGCUUGUUGGUGGGGUAGUGGCUUACCAAGGCUUUGACGGGUAGCCGGCCUGAGAGGGUGACCGGCCACAUUGGGACUGGGAUACGGCCAGGACUCCUACGGGAGGCAGCAGUGGGGAAUAUUGCACAAUGGGCGGAGGCCGGAUGCAGCAACGCCGCGUGCGGGAUGACGGCCUUCGGGUUGUAAACCGCUUUCGCCUGUGACGAAGCGUGAGUGACGGUAAUGGUAAAGAAGCACCGGCUAACUACGUG
rnacentral:rRNA from 1 species